UACGGAGGGUGCAAGCGUUAUCCGGAUUUACUGGGUUUAAAGGGUGCGCAGGCGGUAAGAUAAGUCAGUGGUGAAAGCUUUCAGCUCAACUGGAAAAUUGCCAUUGAUACUGUUUUACUUGAAUAUGGUAGAGGUAGGCGGAAUACAUUGUGUAGCGGUGAAAUGCUUAGAUAUGAUGUAGAACACCGAUUGCGAAGGCAGCUUACUAAACCAUUAUUGACGCUCAGGCACGAAAGCGUGGGGAGCGAAC
rnacentral:rRNA from 1 species